rnacentral:piRNA from 1 species
CUAUGAACUUGACUUUGAUGC